rnacentral:tRNA from 1 species
GCAGGCGUGGCGGAAUUGGCAGACGCGCUAGACUUAGGAUCUAGUGGUUAACCCCGUGAGAGUUCGACUCUCUCCGCCUGCA